rnacentral:lncRNA from 1 species
UUUACACGUUAGAAUAAAGAAGAUGGAUGCCCUGUGGGAAAUAGGGAGUUAAUAAAAAUCUUUAAGCAGAGGAGUCAGAUAUUAAAAUGAAAGCUUUUGGAACCCUGGAAAUGGUAUAAAAAUGGGUGAAUUGGAGCUCAGAGGGGAGCAAUCCGGAAGUGACAAGGAGUGACUUUGGGAAUGGGCGCAGUCACAUCAGCGUGCCUCAGUGUAAUAUACUACUCAUUUCCUAUAUCCAAGUCAAUUUCAUUCUUUCUCCCUGUGAUCAGAUGUUCCCUACCAACAUUUCAGAGGAAGAGUUUCUAUCAUUUACUUUACACUGAAGACAGAAUUCCUGUUGGGAAUAAAUUCUGCCAGCAACCUGAGAGAACUUAGAAGCUCAUUCUUCUCCAGUCAACAUUCCAAAUGAGAACAAAGUCUGAUUGACACUGACUGCAGCCUUGUGGAACCGGAAGCAGAGGACCCCAGAUAAGAUAGGUUAUUCUGACAAGAGCGGCCGGUGUUGUUGGCAAAGAGAGCAGCUAGAAGAUUGUAGCAGAGGCUGGUUAGCUGUUCACCAAAUCCAUUUUCUCUUUCUCUUGAGCACACAACUUUAUAUUGUAUAUUCCAGUCUCUCUUAAAGGUGAGUAAAGCCAUAUAAUGAGUUCUGGCCAAAGGAAAAUGGAUAGAAGUGAUGUAUGUUACUUCUAGGCCUGGCACACAAGACACAUCAACAUGCAGUCCUAUAUAUUCUCUACCUCUAGGAAGUGGU